CAUCCGGAAGCACGCCGGAAGCAGGAAGCUCCAGCCCCAUGAUGCAGAGCCCGGUCCCGGCACCGAGCCCAGCCGGGCACAGCAGUCACUGCCAUUGUCACAGCACCACGGCAGCUACAGGCAAGGUCCAACAAGCUGGGGAACUCCCUACAACCCUGUCAACACCAGCUCCAGCCCCUGGGAUGUUCCGAGCAGGAAACGCCCCCAGCUGAGACCCAGUGACCCUCUGGGUGGGGGUAAACAGAAGGCUCUAGACUGUGGAGAUGUAGAAGGGGCUGAGCUGACUUCAUCAUCAGAGACCUGGCAACAGGGUGGGGGAAUGAUUCCAGCAUUCCCAGCGGUGUGAGGAAAUGGGACAGCACCUGAAAAAUACACAGCCUUUAAUUGGCAAAUCCUCUCAGAACUACGCUAGCUAGCUGCUAAACAUGGGCUGCUGUUGCAAAUAUGCUGCGAUUUAUAACUACUACUGAAUUAACCCCGUGUGAUAUGAAGUAGAUUGUGCAACUGCUUGGUACUCCAGUGCAAUACGUAAUGUUCAAAUCGAGCAGGAAAGCUUAUGCAGAAGAUCAGGAACUAAAGAAAUCAAGAGCUUUGAACCCAUGUUUCGUUCCAUAUUUCAAAACCUCUAAUAAGCUGAUAGCAUAUGAUGAAGAUAAAAAUACUGAAGAGGUAUCACACAAGAAUUACAAAAGUGUACAGUUGUUUGUUAAAAAUGCCUUAGAGUUCAUAGUGCAAUAUUUGUCACUGCUGUUUGCAUUUAUUAAAAUCAGACUCCUUAAGCCUAUGGUAUCUGAUUUUACUAAGGUUAUUAAGAGAGUAUUACAUUUCUCUCUCAGUCAUGGGCUGCUGUGUAUCAAAGAGAUGGUAGGAUAUAUAUAUUAAUAAUUUGGCUCUUAGUAUUCCUAAUAGCCCUGCUUGCAUUAUUACUAGAUCAAACCUGAAGAUUCAAAGAAUAUAAUCAUCUUAACAUUCUAGGUCCAUUGACACAUACACAGAAUAUUAAUUUACUAAAUUCAUAGGCAAAUUUCAACUACAAAGCCUCUAACCAAGAAUUUACCACCUAUCAUAAUUUUAAAACCUAAAGUCACCUGUUAGUGCCAAUAACAAAAUUUCUAACUCCUAAUAAAAGGAAAAAAGUAGACUGCUUGCCCUGUUAUUCAUGUUAACAAAAUUUUCUUGCACUAGAAUACUGUUCAAAACCAAUGUUUCGUUCCUUUUCUUAUUUACUCUACAAAGAAAAAAGGGGGGAAAAGGUUGGGGUGAAUGCAUUCCCCCUUUUGAGUCUUAAGUAAUGUUAUGUUCUCAUGUUUCACAAUGAAUCAUGUAACAGUACAACGAUCCUAAACCCAAGAUAAAAGCAUUACAAUGGACACUGGGAGCCACAGACACCAGCCCUUUGUCAGACACCAUGAGCCAUUUAACCAAAACAACUGAUAACUGCCUCAUAGAAAUCUGGAACUUUUGAAAUGACAGUUCAUAUAAAGACUGUUUGUUUACAAAUUGCCUUAUCUUUUAAGUUUGUUUUUUCUUACAGCCCUAAAGUUGAAUGUUUCAGAGUUCUCUAAUCUCAGUUCUGAGUAAAGAUAUAACUUACAGCUUUGCUUACAAACUAUUUUUCAUGUUUACACACUGUUUUUCUGUUUAAAAAUUGUUUUUUUCUAGCAGGUAGACUUUCUUUAACAGUUUUAGGAGUUAAGUAGCUUGUUGUUGUUAAAAUAAGCUAAUUUGUAAACUAACCAUUAAGAAAUUCUUACCUGCAGGCUCUAAACCAAAAUGCUGCAGCUUCACUAAUAGAUAAUUCAUGCAAAUUAAACCAUACUAUUUUCUGUCAUCCUGUUUGCUAGGGACUCCUACAAAUAGAUGACAGAGAACAAGUCACAAUUUUUAGUAAAGAAAAAUUUUAGGGUGAGAUGUUGCAUUGCAAGCUGAACAUGAGCCCAGUUAUAAAUAACAAAUGCAGCCCACCUCCACAAACCAGCCUUUGGGCUGACUGACAGAAGCUUUGACAAAUAACAACUCUCCUAAAACACAAGCAUUUACUGUUAAGAGUCUGUGGGGUGUAGAGUUUAGACCAAUGUCUGUGUAGCACCGGGAGUUUUAAAUUUGCCAUGAAAUGGUGUUGGAUAAACAAUAACCCAGGCUGUUUGCUGGUGACCAAGGGGAGUUUUGUCAUGUGUUAUGUCUCAGACACAUGUACAUCACACGUACAUCAUGUUAUUAAUGUAAUGGUUGCCUGCUGUGAGAGCUUUGAGCUGAAUUAGAGUAAGAUGGUCACCUGGAGUAAGACUAAAAUCAUUAAUCAUUGCUCUCCUCUCUUCCUUUGGAUGAAAGUGGCAGGCUGCAGCAUUUACAGCACCAGAGCCUCAGCAGGCAGGACCGCUCUCUGUGAGCCUGCAAGGGGAAGGUUGAUGGCUGUGCCCUGGAAGGGCACACCAUGGCCUCCAGGCACUCCUAACUCAGGCCCUGGACCCUUUCUUUGUGUGGCUUCAAUAAACCCCAUGGAAAUUCCACCCAGGAGACCCUUCCUGCGUUUCAUUCACCGGGAGCUAUCCAUGGCUAUGUGCAUGGGCUGAGUGGUUGUUUGCCUGCCUGCCUGAACGCCUUCGACAGAGGAUGCUUUCAGGCAGGCAGUGGUGACUCACCACCCUGCCAUGCUCCUGCAGUGUGAUACAGCACAGCACCAACAGCACCCUCCUCUCCCUGACACUGAUCUGUUCUCUGCCAUUUUCAGUGGCCUGAUUGAAGCACAUGGUGAGAAACGCCAUUCACUUGUUUUAAAAUUGUAAAAGUUUAAUUGUAAUCAAAUGGUUGUAAAAAUAGUAAUAAAAAUUAGAGUAAUAAGAAUUUGGACAAUCAGAGUUAGGACAAUAAAGGACAAUAAAAAACCAAAGAAUUA